rnacentral:tRNA from 2 species
AACCCAAUACGGUGAUAAGCGGUUUUCUAAUCCGCCGGUCACAGGUUCGAAUCCUGUCGGGGUCGCCA